GGUUUUAAAAGGAUUCAUUGGUUUGAGAUGGACCCGCGUCUGAUUAGCCAGUUGUGGGGUAACGGCCUACCAAAGCGACGAUCAGUAGCCGACCUGAGAGGGUGAUCGGCCACAUUGGGACUGAGACACGGCCCAAACUCCUACGGGAGGCAGCAGUGGGGAAUAUUGCGCAAUGGGGAAACCCUGACGCAGCAACGCCGCGUGAGUGAGGAAGUAUUUCGGUAUGUAAAGCUCUAUCAGCGGGGACGAAGAUGACGGUACCCGCAGAAGAAGUCCCGGCUAACUACGUGCC
rnacentral:rRNA from 1 species